AAAAUAAUAGAAAUAUUUUAGGUGAUAAAGUUAGAUGGUACACCCUGUAUAUUGUGGAAAAAAUAAAAUCCAAGGUAAAGUACUCCGAUAUCGAUGCCGCAUGAAUUUCAAAUUGACAAUAAUAAAUCUAUCCACGUCGAGAAUUACGGCUAGCUAUACACAUAUAUACACAUGUAUACAAUUUUUUUACGGAUCUAUACAAUGCAAAAUUCGAAUUUGUACAUGUUCGAUGUUCUAUCUCGACUAUGGACGGUUAAUACUUUUAGAUGAAGCUUCAAGUUUAUGUCGUGCAAGGGAAAACAUUAAAAAAAAUAAAUUGUUCAUUGCAGGAUAUUUACUCGUAUAGCAAAUCUUACUGUCGAAUUAAUUUAUCACGACCUGCAUUGUACGACACCUAUAUCGGAAACUAAAUUUACCUCGCGAUGAGAAAAUGCAUAUAGAUAAAGCACGAUAAAAAUGCAGGUACAUUUACCAUCUGUCAAGCAAUACAUACAUAUUUACGCACUUUAACUGAAAAGAUAACCGGAAAACAUGAAAUUACAGUUAAUUAAAAUUAAAUUACAUGUCUCUUGGUACUUUUAAUUGAUUCGGUCAAUUGUACCAGUUCAAAUGUUACACGAAUCUUUCUUAAAGCUUUAGAAAUACAGUAAUGUAAAAUUAUGAUAUUUUUUUAUGCUUUUGUUUUUUUUUUUAUAAUUAAAUGUCCUAAAAAUAACGUUAUCUUAUUAUGUUAAUAAUAACAAGAUACGAAAUUUUUCUCUUCCUUGUUACAAAAUAUACCAGACGUGAACUUCAUAGUUCGCACUGAUUGUAUUGAUCAUCUCAAUCAUCAUUCAACAUCAGGCGUAAACUUACUAGAUCUUUUAAAAAAAAAUUGUUGACCACAUAGUAAAAAUAAUUCUGUAUUAUACAGACAGAUUGUAUUCAGUCUCUCUAAGUAUAAAAGUCGUUUUAUGAGUUAAUUCGGAUAAUUUAAUUCUAAAACAUCACCUCUUGAUGAUGUGACUGAUCUAUGGAGUUCACACUGGCGUAGGAAGUGGUUGGGAACUGAUUGCUGUCAUUUUGGAGUAAAGGAGAGUCAGGCCCUUGACUCCUAAAUUCGUUUCCAGCCCUGCUGGCGCAUUCGUCGACUCUUCUACGCCCUCGGCGCGACAUCACGCCUGCAAAUAAUAGCAGGAAAUAACUACAAUUCGAGCUUUUACUUUAACAUGUUGUACGUUUUAGCCGACUAAAGGCAUGUCAAAUAAAUAAAUUAUAACAAAUUAUAAUGCAAAUAAUGACGCUUAAAAAAAGAAAAAGAACACAAAUGAUGGUAUAUUUGAAAAAUAGGAGGACAUGAAAUCUAUUCACCAGUGGCAAUACAUCUUUUCCAUAUCCCUCUUUUAUGCUUUCAAAUGAUGUUGCAAAAUAAUUUAAUUGAUGUUACAAUGAAACAACUAACAACUACUUCCGCUGCCAAUUAUAUUUACGUAAUUAGAUUAGAUUACCAAUAACACAGAAUAUAUAAGUAUUUGAUUUUAGUUACACGCAAUGGCAAUCUUACCACAAGAGCACUCAUGAAACGCAUGAAAUAGAAAAGAGAAGUCUUGCAACUAAUUUAUAACUAUUGAAACAACGAAAAGAAAAUGGCUUUAACAAAGCAGCAUAUUUUUAUAAAAAUAGAAAUAGAAAUAGAUAUAGAUAUCCCAUCCCACACUCAUCGACACACAGAGAUUGUUUUGUAAUAAGCAAAUUUCAGGAGAAAGCUUAGUAGUAUUUGCGGUUUCGAAUAUCUGUUGUGCAAGUGCAGGAAAUUCCAUUCGACGUGUCAAAAAUAUUUACAUAUUGCUUGUUCUCAGAGACUAAUUUUGAACUAAAGCCGGGUGUUGCUUCAAGCUGUGUCCAAGUGUGUAGACAAAGAUAGAAAUAUUGUAACGAUACAAAAGGAAGUGUAAAUGUAUCCUGCGUACCUAUCUCUCAUAUUCGAGCACUCUGAAGGUGGGUGUGCUUGUGGUGGGUGUGGGAGGAGAAUUGAGAUUGCUUACGCGAUGAUUCAAGGAAGUCUCCUGUACGUUGUCCAGAUUUCCUUGCAUUGCUCUCUUGUGAUUUGCCAACUUUUCUCUGUUCAUUGGUGUGCCUAGAACCACCAGAAGCCAUGACGAAGCUCUCUUAAGCUGUACUUUUAUUUUUAGUCUUUUCCCGAAUAGAAAUUACUAGAAGGUCGUCGAUACUUGAAGACAAAUUUCUAUGUUAAUAUACCAACAAAAAUAAAUAUAGAUAUUAACGUUACAAGCAAAAAAGACAUGAGUGAACGAGUUUUGUCUGUAAAACACAACCUUCUUGCAUGUCGAUCGUAUCUUCUAAUCUAGGGAUAUGAAAAUUAAACCUAUCUUUUACUACGUUAUUUAAGUAAACACUGGUGUUUUUUUUUUUUUUUUUUUUUUUUGUUCAGAUCAACAUAUAGGUGAAAUCCUUAAGCAACGUAAUAUGAUUUG